UCCCGUUUGCCAAUCCUCGAAGCUCACCGAUAAUUUAAUCCAUGUUCGUCAAGCUCUCAUUGUUUGCCAUUGCUAUGCGAAAGUUCUUGAUAGAGAGCGGACUCACUCGUGGUUCUUCUCCUCGAAAGUCUUCCAAGAAGCGGAAGUAUUAGGGGAAAAUUCACCAUCGUCGUGGGAAAACGUCGGCAACAUUUGUUCCGCUUCUCUCGGUGAGGUUGGGCGGCGUCUUCUCUCUUUAGGAUUCGUUGGCGUCGCUAAAGGAUUCGUGACGGGUGAGUAUGAGUUUGGGUUAAACUCAUUUAU
rnacentral:lncRNA from 1 species